rnacentral:pre_miRNA from 1 species
AGAGGAAUUGCUGGGUCAUAUGGUUGUUCUAUUUUUAGAGCAACCUCCGUACUGCUUUCCAUAAUGACUGUGCCAAUUUACAAUCUCACUAACAGU